AGGAGUACUCUAGUACGAUAAACUGAAAACCCCAUAUGAAUUUCUUUGCAGAAACAAGCUCUGAGGACCUUGCAAGGUGCUGUGAUCAGCUGAACUCAAAUAAUAAUCUCCCCAGAACUGCAAGAAAAAGACCCACUUCUCCAGCGGAAGGCAGUGACAUGACCCAAAUGGAAGCACAAGGCUCAUAUGGUUACAUUCAAUGAUCAGUUCUCCAUGGACGGAUUGUGACCCCCCAGAAAGGUUACAAAGGGAGGUAACAUUGCUGACAAGAACCGCAACUAACCCACCGUUUUCUCCAUUGGAAUAAGUGAGUACUCACGCAAGCUCUCAGAAGGCAUCCCUUGAUCC
rnacentral:lncRNA from 1 species